rnacentral:rRNA from 2 species
UGAGGAAUAUUGGGCAAUGGGCGCAAGCCUGACCCAGCCAUGCCGCGUGAAGGAUGAAUGCCCUAUGGGUUGUAAACUUCUUUUGUACGGGACAAAACUCUUGGUCGUGACCGAGAUUGAUGGUACCGUUCGAAUAAGCAUCGGCUAACUCCGUGCCAGCAGCCGCGGUAAUACGGAGGAUGCAAGCGUUAUCCGGAUUCAUUGGGUUUAAAGGGUGCGUAGGCGGAAUAAUAAGUCAGCGGUGAAAGCCUGUGGCUCAACCAUAGAAUUGCCAUUGAUACUGUUAUUCUUGAGUAUAGUUGAAGUAGGCGGAAUGUGUAAUGUAGCGGUGAAAUGCUUAGAUAUUACACAGAACACCAAUUGCGAAGGCAGCUUACUAAGCUGUUACUGACGCUGAGGCACGAAAGCGUGGGGAGCAAACAGG